rnacentral:hammerhead_ribozyme from 1 species
AUCCAGUUGACGAGUCCCACAUAGAGCAAAGCGCGCGUCCUGAAU